rfam:Treponema denticola ATCC 35405, complete genome.
ACCGCUAUGGAUGGCGGUGGUUCCUGCUUCGAGAGUUUUGCACAGCAAAACUCUUAGAUUAAAAAUGUACAAGGAGGUACAUUUUUAAUCAAUC